rnacentral:lncRNA from 1 species
ACACAGUGGAAAAUCUCAGAAUAAAUGCAAGCGCACUUUGUUUAUAGCAAUAACAAUUCGCACUCCAGCUGCUUUGGCAUGAGCAAUGGCCUCUUCUAUUUGAGGUCGAAUUCCAUCAUCAGUAGCAACUACAAUAACAGCAAUGUCUAUUACUCUGGCUCCACGAGCUCUCAUUGCUCGAAAUGCCUAUCCAAUGCAGAGCGAUGUGAAGCCGCAGGCCUCAGACCAGCUGUAGCAUGGC